UACGUAGGGUGCGAGCGUUAAUCGGAAUUACUGGGUGUAAAGCGUGCACAAGCAAUUUUAUAAAACAAGUGUGAAAUCCCCGGGCUCAACCUGGGAAUGGCAUUUGUGACUGUAAGACUAGAGUACGGUAGAGGGGGAUGGAAUUCCGCGUGUAGCAGUGAAAUGCGUAGAUAUGCGGAGGAACACCGAUGGCGAAGGCAAUCCCCUGGACCUGUACUGACGCUCAUGCACGAAAGCGUGGGGAGCAAACAGG
rnacentral:rRNA from 1 species